rnacentral:rRNA from 1 species
CAAUAGCGUAUAUUAAAGUUGUUGCAGUUAAAAAGCUCGUAGUUGAAUUUCUGGGCGGCCCGCCGGUCUUCCAUGUGUUGUACUGGGCGGCGCCGGCCAUCCUUGUGGAGAGGGCUCGCAUUUGGUUGCGUGUCGGAUCUGCAUCAUUUACUGUGAAAAAAUUAGAGUGUUUAAAGCAGGCUGUCGCUUGAAUACAUUAGCAUGGAAUAAUAAGAUAGGACUUCGGUCUAUUUUGUUGGUUGCGAACCGAGGUAAUGAUUAAUAGGGAUAGUUGGGGGUAUUCAUAUUUAAUUGUCAGAGGUGAAAUUCUUGGAUUUAUGAAAGAUGAACAACUGCGAAAGCAUUUACCAAGGAUGUUUUCAUUGA